rnacentral:rRNA from 1 species
AGAGUUUGAUCCUGGCUCAGAUUGAACGCUGGCGGCAUGCUUUACACAUGCAAGUCGAACGGUAACAGGGAGCUUGCUCCGCUGACGAGUGGCGAACGGGUGAGUAAUGCAUCGGAACGUGCCUAUUUGUGGGGGAUAACGUAGCGAAAGUUACGCUAAUACCGCAUACGCCCUGAGGGGGAAAGCGGGGGAUUCGUAAGAACCUCGCGCAAUUAGAGCGGCCGAUGUCGGAUUAGCUAGUUGGUGGGGUAAAGGCUCACCAAGGCGACGAUCCGUAGCGGGUCUGAGAGGAUGAUCCGCCACACUGGGACUGAGACACGGCCCAGACUCCCACGGGAGGCAGCAGUGGGGAAUUUUGGACAAUGGGCGAAAGCCUGAUCCAGCCAUGCCGCGUGAGUGAAGAAGGCCUUCGGG